GGGGAUGAAUUGGUAUCGACAGCGUGAUUCUAGCGUUCGUUAUGUCCUGUAGCAGUGCGCAAGCACUUGCUAUGGGGUAGCUUCUGUUCGGGAUGGCAACGGUUCCCGUUGCCAUGUAGUCGUGCUUUGCACGUACUAUGUGGCUUUACCCACUUGUUGCACACAUAAUUGCAAACUCUGCAAUGACUGCUUUCCGUGAUGCAGCUGCUCGUGGCUUUGCCCGCCUGCAGCCCGCUCUUGCGGUAGCUUAAGUUCCUCUUAGCAGGAACACGUCUCUCCUCCCAUCCUCGCUUAAGAGGAUGAGGCGUCACCAGCGAGGUGUACGGUGCUGUGAUGCGCACACCGUAGACAUAUAGCAUCAACCCUUCCUACAGUUCUUGGUCUCUUUCUUAUUGUAGGAAGUACCGAAAGAGACAUAGCAGUACGGGCACGUUCUCUACACGUUGGACCCGGGUUCGAUUCCCGGCAUCUCCACCA
rnacentral:tmRNA from 1 species